UCCCUGGAGGUUCAGUGGUUAAGACUCUGCACUUCCACUGCAGAGGCCAGGGGUUCCAUCCCUGGUUGGGGAA
rnacentral:tRNA from 1 species